GAAUGAAGAAUCAAUGCUUGGGGACACGUUGAAGUUGCCAGUAGUGACACAGGCAUUCUUUUCUGUUUGAAACAUCGAAUGUCCUCUUCGGGUCAAUGUUGUGGUCGCUCACGGACCAGGACAGGACUGGAGUGAUGGCCGUGGAAGUGGUCCUUGGGGUGCCGUCCUCAUUCCGCAGCACUGCCACACCGUCAGCGUCUGCAAGGCACUCUG